rnacentral:rRNA from 1 species
GAUGAACGCUAGCUACAGGCUUAACACAUGCAAGUUGCGGGGCAGCAUGUCGGUUGCUUGCAACCGAUGAUGGCGACCGGCGCACGGGUGAGUAACGCGUAUCCAACCCUACCCUUCACCACGGAAUAAUCCAGUGAAAAUUGGUCUAAUACCGUAUGAGGUCAUACGAUGGCAUCAGAAUAUGACGAAAGGUUUAGCGGUGAAGGAUGGGGAUGCGUCUGAUUAGCUUGUUGGUGGGGUAACGGCCUACCAAGGCGACGAUCAGUAGCCGACCUGAGAGGGUGACCGGCCACAUUGGGACUGAGACACGGCCCAAAACUCCUACGGGAGGCAGCAGUGGGGAAUAUUGCACAAUGGGGGAAACCCUGAUGCAGCAACGCCGCGUGAUUGAAGAAGUAUUUCGGUAUGUAAAGAUCUAUCAGCAAGGAGAAAAUGACGGUACUUGACUAAGAAGCCCCGGCUAACUACGUG